CCUGUGCAUUUGUGAGACGGGAGGGUCUGUUUUAUUAUGGACCUUUUCGUCUAUUAAACUACACAAACUCAUUUAUUUUGAACCGAAUGUAAUUGAUGUAACACAUCAUUUAAAACAAAGUUUCAACAACGGAUCUCUUGGCUCUCGCAUCGAUGAAGAACGCAGCGAAAUGCGAUAAGUAAUGUGAAUUGCAGAAUUCAGUGAAUCAUCGAAUCUUUGAACGCACCUUGCGCUCCUUGGUAUUCCUUGGAGCAUGCCUGUUUGAGUAUCAUGAAAUUNUCAAAGCAAGCCUUUUGUUAAUUCAAUUGGUCUUCUUGCUUUGGACUUGGAGGCUUGCAGAUUUCACAGUCUGCUCCUCUUAAAUUCAUUAGCUGGAUCUCAGUAUAUGCUCGGUUCCACUCGGCGUGAUAARUAUCACUCGCUGAGGACACUGUAAAAGGUGGCCGGGAAAUGCAGACGAACCGCUUCUAAUAGUCUAUUAAAUUAGACAAUACUCUAAGAUCUGAUCUCAAAUCAGGUAGGACUACCCGCUGAACUUAAGCAUAUCAAUAAGCGGAGGAAAAGAAACUAACAAGGAUUCCCCUAGUAACGGCGAGUGAAGCGGGAAGAGCUCAA
rnacentral:rRNA from 1 species